UUUAUGUUUUAGAUCAUUUAUUGUUAAACGGAGAAGUCACAAAGCAAAAGUGAAAUGGGACACAAAUCCAAGAUGAUUUUAAAACAUUUCUUUUGGUGUGUGUCAAAUAUUUUUCUAAGUUUAAAAAGGAGGAAAAGUGACAAACGAAAGAUACUUUGUUCAAAUGAAGUCUCAUUGGAAAGGAAAACCACUGGUCUUUAGAAACCUAGAUCAUGACCCACAGCCCUUACUUAAGAGAUGGCGGUGAAAGCUUCCCGGUGAACACACAGCAGUCUCUCACCUGCACACUCAGAAUGUCAGGUGAGUGGGUUUCACAAACCUCCCUUUGCACUUGGCCAACCAUCAGGAAUCUACUCUGGGCUGGUGACCACCACCAGGUGCUCCGGGAUGCCAGCGCCCAGCUUCCAGGCCCAGCUUUUGAGGCACGUUUGGAGAUCAAAGAUCCAAAACAGCUACGCUGAGCUGGCUCCUAGCUCAUAACCUAACGGCAUAAAAUCCUGCCUCUCCAUCCAAACCAGACAUCCACGGUCGCUUGCUUCUACUUACUGAUACGGUUCUGCCUCCAUCCCUAUCUAGAAUGUUCUGCUUGAACUUAACACGCAUGAUCCCUCUAAGACUAAAACAAGGAAAGAAUUUUUUCUUAAGGACACCUUUACAACCCUGCUGCAAUUUGGAGACAAUGGAGACAGCAUUUUCUCCUGGCACGCUGGCCAUGGCAUCAUUCUGAGCUCAAGCAAGUGUCUCCAAAGGGGCAGAGCAAAGCCAUAGCGACUUUCCUAAUUUAGAAAUUGUAUUUGCAAAAAAAAAAAUGGGGGGGGGAAUUAUAUUUGCCGCUUCCGUGACAUUAUGAAGUCAGAUAGAAAAUCCAUUUUGCCAACAAAUGCUUUUCUAAAGCCGGGUAGCAUUGGUUGCUCUGAGUUUUACCGAGGAGCUUGUAGGAUCCCAGUGGGUCCCCUGUACCCACUGUGGACCAUGACGCCAGCAACCUCUGUGCCCAGAGGGAUGAGUUGAAAGGUUACAACAGACUUGUGGUCUGCGGGGGGGGGGGGGGGGAGGGGACCGGACACGGGACACGACACGGACUAGUAGGUAAUGUGGCUCUAGACAGCGCCACAGUCUUUUAAAUGGCUUUGCUGCACCUGCUUUGCAUGAUAACAAGUCUUUACUGUGGCUCCAGGGGAGCCAGCGCGCUCUCAACUCUGCUCUUUGGACAGAUGGAAGCUAUCCACAGAGACGCCGAGAUACAAGAGACAGCAGAGCCUUUGAAACCAACCCGCCAUGAUUUGGAAUAUUCAAAGGAAAUAUGCACGACUUGUUCUUUCCAAUGCUGGAAGAAAACUCCGUUUGCCACUUUCUUUACUCCAGCACUGUGGGGCCUGGGAGGGGAUUCUAAGAAGCAAGGGCUUGGCCCCGGGUAGGGGCAGGGGGGCGGGGGACAGGUUGGUGCACGGCGCCUUCUUGCCCAGCGCCGCCCCUGCUGCUGUAGCUGGCUCAGCUGGACUCUGGAAGGUGGCUGGGAAACACCUUUGAUUCAUACCUGACUCCACAAGUCUCUUCUGUGUAUAAAGUGGUACAAGAGAAAUGUCUCCCAUCACCACGGUGGCAAGGUUGUGGAGUCUCCUUGUCAUUCUCUACUCGCGAAUCCAUCUGAGCUUCUUCACCUGGGUAGUAAGCCACAGUCCUUGCUUCUUUGGGUUAAACCCCGUUCCUCCCAGUUUCGACACUAUCAGAGUCCGAAGAAUAAGUCCAUCAUUUAAUCAUGAUGAUCUGAGUCACAUUCAAAUCUGCUUCCUUCUCUCGGCAGCCAGGCUCAGGCACAGUGGCCCACAGUGGAAACCCUUUCCAUUCAGCCCCCAAAGCAUGUUUUUCCAAAGCAUUCUUUCAGAAUGCCGUUCUUCUUAAAAAAGAGCCCUCUGCUGCAUUUUGCCUCAAGAAAAAAAAAAAAAAAAAG
rnacentral:lncRNA from 1 species